rnacentral:lncRNA from 1 species
UGUUUUUAGUUUAGAUCGGCAAAUCGUUAAUAAUUACUUUCUCCUUAUUCGUAUCUUCAGAGUCUGGGGACGAGAUCCCUCCUCUUGUGACCCAUCGGCACCUGAAGCAUUUCUGAAAGGAAACCGGUUGAACAUGUGAGGAACAAGGACAAGGGUCUGGCAGGCAGCAGAUUCUUUUGGUUCAGAAACUGAUUCAUACUCACAGCACAACUGAAAAGUCAUGCAAUUCUCCAAUUUUUAAUAAGUAAGGAAGAGCAUUUGUGCCUCAAUCAAAAAGCUGUGCACCCCUGAGUAAAAGUUCCAGUUCCUCUGUUGUGGGUCUCAGCACUGUGCAUCUAUCAGAGAAAAUCACUGCAGAGCAGGGGCUGCUGGUAACCAGAUCACAGCUCUGGAGGCUGCACAGCGAUGGGAUGACACUACUGGCAGAGCUGAGAGGUGGAAGUGGCUUUCUGCAGAGGCUGCUGAAGGUAUCCUAAUGACUUUGAUGUGCUUGUGUUAACCAAGUUCGAUUUUUCAAAAUAUCCACACUAUUCUCAGGUUUUCAAGUAUCUGGUUUAUUUCUUGUUGCCUUUCUUCUUUUUUUCCUUCUUUUUCUCUU